rnacentral:rRNA from 1 species
GAUGAACGCUGGCGGCGUGCCUAAUACAUGCAAGUCGAGCGAACAGACGAGGAGCUUGCUCCUCUGACGUUAGCGGCGGACGGGUGAGUAACACGUGGAUAACCUACCUAUAAGACUGGGAUAACUUCGGGAAACCGGAGCUAAUACCGGAUAAUAUAUUGAACCGCAUGGUUCAAUAGUGAAAGACGGUUUUGCUGUCACUUAUAAAUGGAUCCGCGCCGCAUUAGCUAGUUGGUAAGGUAACGGCUUACCAAGGCAACGAUGCGUAGCCGACCUGAGAGGGUGAUCGGCCACACUGGAACUGAGACACGGUCCAGACUCCUACGGGAGGCAGCAGUAGGGAAUCUUCCGCAAUGGGCGAAAGCCUGACGGAGCAACGCCGCGUGAGUGAUGAAGGUCUUCGGAUCGUAAAACUCUGUUAUUAGGGAAGAACAAAUGUGUAAGUAACUAUGCACGUCUUGACGGUACCUAAUCAGAAAGCCACGGCUAACUACGUG